rnacentral:rRNA from 1 species
GAUGAACGCUGGCGGCGUGCCUAAUACAUGCAAGUCGAGCGAACAGACGAGGAGCUUGCUCCUCUGACGUUAGCGGCGGACGGGUGAGUAACACGUGGAUAACCUACCUAUAAGACUGGGAUAACUUCGGGAAACCGGAGCUAAUACCGGAUAAUAUAUUGAACCGCAUGGUUCAAUAGUGAAAGACGGUUUUGCUGUCACUUAUAGAUGGAUCCGCGCCGCAUUAGCUAGUUGGUAAGGUAACGGCUUACCAAGGCGACGAUGCGUAGCCGACCUGAGAGGGUGAUCGGCCACACUGGAACUGAGACACGGUCCAGACUCCUACGGGAGGCAGCAGUAGGGAAUCUUCCGCAAUGGGCGAAAGCCUGACGGAGCAACGCCGCGUGAGUGAUGAAGGUCUUCGGAUCUUAAAACUCUGUUAUUAGGGAAGAACAAAUGUGUAAGUAACUAUGCACGUCUGGACGGUACCUAAUCAGAAAGCCACGGCUAACUACGU